CACUGCAAAAGCCUUUCCACAUUUGCGACAAGAGAAAGCUUUAGCCCCAUGCUUAUGCUUGUAAUGGGUCUGUAGUGUUAUAAAAUCCUUCAAUGGCCGAACCCAUUUUUUCUUACUUUGAUUCAAUAUUUGAAGAUGCGAUCAUCACUUUCUUAUAAUCACAACCAUUUCAGAUCAAUGCAAGAUUUUUAAAAAAAAAAAAAAAAAAAGGGUUUUAGAACAUUGCAGACCUGUAUUUACUUCCUUCUAGUUAUUCACCAAUGUUGAUAUCAUGCUCUGUUUUGGCAACCUAGCAAUCCCUCACUGCGUGGACUCGAUCUCCCUCACCCAUCCUCCAUUAUUUCUUAUACCAUGAGCGUGAGCUCUUUAUUCAAGGCAAUCCAACCCCUGAAAUUUAUUCCAUUAAACCUUCCUACUGUGAGGUUGAAACCAGCAUCCAGUUCAUGCCAUUUUGGUUUCACCAGAUUGAGUUUCAGUAACUAAAAUAGGGUUUGUAUGUCGAACAAUGAAAGAGGACGUUCCAGACGAUGGUCGCACAAAGAAAGGAGAAAUCACCAGCGGCUAUUAGAGAUGGCGAAAUAAACGCCAACAGCCUACUAGAGAUUGUGUGAGCCAAAGGUAGGGAGGAAGUUCCCACGCCACAAACCCUAUUCUUUUAUUUAAAAUUUUGCAUCCAUCUCUCAGGGAUUUGAUUUAGAAUAUGAUAUGGUGUAUCGCUGAUGUAUCUUUUUCCCUAAAAAUUAAGCCAUCCACAUCGUAAAAGCAAUAAAAUCCAAAUGUCACAAUCCAUAGUUCACCCCCGCGCUAUAGAGCAGCCGAAUCUUACCACUCACCCUUAUGUUUUUUGUCUUAUGUUUUUCAAAAUCCGGUCAAAUGGUAUAAAGGAUAAUAAACAUUCCCAAUCCCCACACAUCUUAACAUGUGGAGGAUUGGGUUGUUGACAGCCACCAAAAGGCCAUUAAAAGCCCCAUAGGGCUCGAGGACCAAAAACACUUGGUCUACCGAGGUGCUCAUGUUCGUUUGUGCAGGGUUCAUGCUGAGGGCUUCGGUUCUUAACGCCCGUUGUUUAAAGGGGAGUUGGGAGUGAAAACGAUACAUGAUCCCAUAUGUCAGUGGAGGUGAAGAAAAGUUGAGAAAAGCUACCAUACCUUCCCACCCCAUCUUUGUUUGGUUGGGUGGGAGGAGAGAGAGAGGGUCUUCACCUCGAACCCUCUUUUUCCGAUGAGGAUGAAACCCCAUCUGAGCUUCACAAGGGCGUCGACUUCACUUCCCAUUCACAACGGAACGGAAACAGAGAAGGCUCAAGCGUCUUCUUGUUCUUGUUCAAUUCCCAUAACCGCAGCCCCCUGCAUCUCCGCACCUCUUCUUCUUCUUCUUGUUCGAUUCCCCUUUUUUUUCUCUUUUUUUUUUUCUUUUUUUUCCCCUGUUUGGUCUUGCUGUUCAUCUCCUUCUGUUCUCUUAUUCUUCUUGUUUGAUUCCCCCCCUCCCUUUUUAUUCUAUAUAUUUUGUUUGGUCAGCAGCAUUUCUUCUUCUUUCAUCCCUUUUUUUUUUGUUUCCCUUUUUUCUAUGCUUGCAACCCAGACGGAAGAGUGGUAAGGGUCUUCUUCUUUGAUCCCUCUGGUUUUUUUUUUUUUUCUAUGCUUGCAACCCAGGCGAAAGAGUGAUGAGGAUUUUUUAUUUAUUUUUCCUGUUUGAUCUUUGUAGAAGGAUCGUGUAAUUGUUUGGUGAUCUGUGAAAUUUUGAGAAUCUGACCUUUUUCUUU